rnacentral:lncRNA from 10 species
GUGUGUCACAGGAGCACUCAGAUCUGGAACAGAUGGAUCAGAGACACUGGGUUUCUCUUGCUACUGUAUAGCUGCCAAAGAGUGUCCUGACUAGUCAUCCUUGAAUUUGGAGUUGUCCAUGAAGUUCUUCUACUGUCCAGAAAGAGGGCGCACACUUCCUUAGUUCCCAUCAGCGUGGUGGGAAAGAUUCCUACAGAGGCUGAAGAAAUAACAUUCUGGUGCUUUUUAAUGCUUAUCAAUGCAGAUCUUUCACCUGGGGAGCAAUCUGUUGUUCCCACUACAAUAAAAAAUAUG